GUGCCUGGGUGCCCGGCGAGCGAAUGGAGCGCUUUGUCCGUGUUCCCUGCAGCCUGUACCAGGGGACACACUAUGGGAACACACUGCCUUUGGGCCAGCCUGGGCUCUGUGAGCACAGACACCCAGACUGGAGGCACAACAUUGGUGUCCCCACUUUCCUGGCCAGGCCGGGGCUGCUGGUGCCCACCAACACCUCUGACUACUGCAUGGACCCUUACAAGAGGGCUCAGCCUAAGGCCUUUCUUUCCCAGCUGAACCCCAGCCUGAGUCUGCGGUUGUUCAAGCCCCACACCAAGGAGGUGGGCGUGCAGGUGAGCCCGUGGGUGGACAAGUCCGUGCAGUGCUCGCUGGGGCCUCGCACUCUGCACAGCCACUCCCUGUGGGGCGGCACGGACUCCAAGGCACCCCUGCCAUCCUGGGGCGUCGGUUCUCCAGGGACAGGCCGCAGGGGCUUCAUCCGGCUGCUACGGAAGCAUGGGGAGGAUGAGGAGAGGAAGGCAAUUUUGGGCCCUGCAGAAGCCAGCCAGCAGCCGCUACCACCAAGGCCAAGGUCGCAGGACGACAAGCAGCUGGAACUCUGGCAGCAAGAUAAGUUGGGGGAAGAAGACGCGUCGAGUCCUGGGGAAAGGAAGAGCAAGGAGGCCCGGGAAGAUUCUGCCGACCCGCUUGCGAAACCCAACUUCCAGUUUUUGGAACCAAAAUAUGGCUAUUUUCACUGUAAAGAGUGUAAGACCAGAUGGGAGAGUGCUUAUGUGUGGUGCAUUUCUGGAACUAACAAGAAGAAAAACAAUGGGCUUAAAUCAAACACUCCAAGACACUAGGAUACGACGAAUAAGACAGAAUUCAUCCUCCAGAAAUUUAGGGAGUGAUGGGAGUGAUGAGACAACAUGCAAUUUGGUGACAAAUGCAGUGGCACUUGUGGCUUGGACGUGGUACCCAAACAACACACGAGGGGGGAAGGAAUCGUGACGUCCAAGCAGGACUUUAAAGGAGAAGUAGGAGUUCAUGAAGUGAGGCAGGGAGAAAAUGUGCACAAGGAAAUGUACAAAACCUAGAAAUCAUGUGUAUUGGUUUAUUUCAAACAACUCUGUUGCAAGUGCCAGAAGAGUUUUAACCCUUAUAGAGUAGAAGCAAUCCAGUGUCAGAUCUGCUCGAAGUCUCGUUGCUCCUGUCCUCGAAAGAAAAGACACAUUGAUCUGAGGAAACCUCAUC